AGUGACUUCACUUCACAAUCCUCUUCAAGAACUACAAAGAUGCCAUUUUGGAAUGAAAAAUAAGGGGCUGGUUUUGUUCACCACUGGGAACAUUAUGCAUAAGCUCAGCAUAUGGGAGCUGGUAUGGGUGGCUUGUAUCUCAAACAGAAAGUGCAGAGAGAAGAGCACUGACUUGACUAUUGAUCUUUCCAAGGAUUCUCAGGGAGAGAGAAGAAAUAAAAGUUGUCAUGGGGUCAGUGGUGUCUAAAGAAAGAUGAGGCAUGAGAUAAGAGAAAGAUGGCUGAUCAUCUCCACAAACAAUAAGGAAGUAAAACAUUUCAAGAGAGAAAAAUCUUCAAUACCUUUUAUGUUACAGAAGAGUUUUCAGAACUUACCUCCAAAGGGACUCACAUUUAAAAACUUUUCCCUAUUCUAGAAUGAUUUCACUCACUUUAAGUAAUCUUACAGGUCCUCUCUGGAAUGAUGGUCAUGCUUACUUGGAAAUGCAGGGACACUGCAGCAGAUAGGUCAGAGAAGGUCAAGGAGGAUGAUUCUAUCAGAUGUGGCAAGAUUUAGGUCAAUAGUGACCUUUUAGAAAACCAUGUCUGUAGAAAGGCUGGCAGAAGAUAAAUUGCAGGGGUUAAGUAAGAAAUUCUUGAUGAAGGGAGGAGAGAAAUGGCUGAAAAUCAAGAUAUGUGCCCACAAUAAAGUGGUUGGUAAAAGGGCAAAUGUUAGGAUAACUUAUGUAAAAUGUACACUGGAA